rnacentral:pre_miRNA from 1 species
GUGGUGCGGUUUAGGGCUGAGAGGACUGUUGUCUGGCUCGAGGUCAUGAAGAAUGAAACCUAAACCUAAAUGAUUCUCGGACCAGGCUUCAUUCCCCCCAGCCGUUUUAUCGCCAUAUAUAUGCCCAC